GGGCGCUUGGCUCAGCGGUAGAGCGCUUCGUUCACACCGAAGAGGUCACUGGUUCGAUCCCAGUAGCGCCCA
rnacentral:tRNA from 2 species